rnacentral:rRNA from 1 species
GCAUUCGCCCUUCGGGGUGCAGCAGGCGCGAAAACUUUACAAUGCUGGAAACAGCGAUAAGGGGACCUCGAGUGCCAGGUUACAAAUCUGGCUGUCGUGAUGCCUAAAAAGCAUUGCAUAGCAAGGGCCGGGCAAGACCGGUGCCAGCCGCCGCGGUAAUACCGGCGGCUCGAGUGGUAACCGUUAUUAUUGGGUCUAAAGGGUCUGUAGCCGGCCGGAUAAGUCUCUUGGGAAAUCCAGCAGCUCAACUGUUGGGCUUUCAGGAGAUACUGUCUGGCUCGAGGCCGGGAGAGGUGAGAGGUACUUCAGGGGUAGGGGUGAAAUCUUGUAAUCCUUGAAGGACCACCAGUGGCGAAGGCGUCUCACCAGAACGGACCUGACGGCAAGGGACGAAAGCUAGGGGCACGAACCGGAUUAGAUACCCGGGUAGUCCUAGCCGUAAACGAUACUCGCUAGGUGUCGGCCACGGUGCGACCGUUGUCGAUGCCGUAGGGAAGCCGUGAAGCGAGCCACCUGGGAAGUACGGCCGCAAGGCUGAAACUUAAAGGAAUUGGCGGGGGAGCAC